rnacentral:rRNA from 1 species
UAAAAUUAAAAAAUUUGGCGGUAUUUUAGUCUUUUCAGAGGAACCUGUUCUAUAGUUGAUAAUCCACGAUAAAAUUUACUUAUUUUAGAAAUUUAUAUAUCGUCGUAGUUUGAAUAUUUUUAUAGAAUAUUUAAUAUUCAAUAUUUUUUAUUAUAAGAUAAAUCAGAUCAAGGUGUAGUUUAUAAAUAAGGAGAAAUGGGUUACAUUUAUUUAAUUAAUGAAUAAAAUUUUUGUAAAAUUUUUUGAAAUUGGAUUUGAAAGUAAUUUAAUUAAUUUUAUUUAAAUGAUUUAAGCUCUAAAAUAUGUACAUAUUGCCCGUCGCUUUUGUUUUAAGAUGAAAUAAGUCGUAACAAAGUAGAUUUACUGGAAAGUGAAUCUAGAAAA